AGGGUUUGAUUCUGGCUCAGGACGAACGCUGGCGGCGUGCUUAACACAUGCAAGUCGAACGAAGGGUAAAAAUACCCUUAGUGGCGGACGGGUGAGUAACGCGUGAGCAAUCUGCCCUUGUCAGGGGAAUAACACAUAGAAAUGUGUGCUAAUACCGCAUGACGUUACGAAGUGGCAUCACUUUGUAACCAAAGAAUUAUCGGACAAGGAUGAGCUCGCGUCCCAUUAGGUAGUUGGUGAGGUAACGGCCCACCAAGCCGACGAUGGGUAGCCGACCUGAGAGGGUGAUCGGCCACAUUGGAACUGAGAGACGGUCCAG
rnacentral:rRNA from 1 species